UACGGAGGGUGCGAGCGUUAAUCGGAAUUACUGGGCGUAAAGCGCGCGUAGGUGGUUUGGUAAGCGAGAUGUGAAAGCCCCGGGCUUAACCUGGGAACGGCAUUUCGAACUGCCAGACUAGAGUGUGGUAGGGGGUAGUGGAAUUUCCUGUGUAGCGGUGAAAUGCGUAGAGAUAUGGAGGAACACCAGUGGCGAAGGCGGCUUCCUGGUCUGUAACUGACACUGAGGCGCGAAAGCGUGGGGAGCAAACAGGAUUAGAUACCCCCGUAGUCCCUGAG
rnacentral:rRNA from 1 species